rnacentral:rRNA from 1 species
UCAGGCGUGCAACUACGCCCGCCAUGAAGUCGGAAUUGCUGUAAUCGCAGAUCAGCAUGCUGCGGUGAAUACGUUCCCGGGCCUUGUACACACCGCCCGUCACACCAUGGGAGUCGGUAACACCCGAAGUCGGUAGCCUAACCGUAAGGAGGGCGCCGCCGAAGGUGGGAUUGAUGACUGGGGUGAAGUCGUAACAAGGUAAC